rnacentral:rRNA from 1 species
GAUGAACGCUAGCUACAGGCUUUAACACAUGCAAGUCGAGGGGCAUCAGGAAGAAAGCUUGCUUUCUUUGCUGGCGACCGGCGCACGGGUGAGUAACACGUAUCCAACCUGCCCUUUACUCGGGGAUAGUCUUUCGAAAGAAAGAUUAAUACCCGAUAGCAUAAUGAUUCCGCAUGGUUCAUAUUAAAGGAUCCGGUAAGGAUGGGAUGCGUUCCAUUAGGUUGUUGGUGAGGUAACGGCUCACCAAGCCUUCGAUGGAUAGGGGUUCUGAGAGGAAGGUCCCCCACAUUGGAACUGAGACACGGUCCAAACUCCUACGGGAGGCAGCAGUGAGGAAUAUUGGUCAAUGGGGCGUUAGCCUGAACCAGCCAAAGUAGCGUGAAGGAUGAAGGCUCUAUGGGUCGUAAACUUCUUUUAUAUAAGAAUAAAGUGCAGUAUGUAUACUGUUUUGUAUGUAUUAUAUGAAUAAGGAUCGGCUAAACUCCGUGCCAGCCGCCGCUGUAAC